rnacentral:rRNA from 1 species
AUUGAACGCUGGCGGCAUGCCUUACACAUGCAAGUCGAACGGCAGCACGGGUGCUUGCACCUGGUGGCGAGUGGCGAACGGGUGAGUAAUGCAUCGGAACGUACCCGGAAGUGGGGGAUAACGUAGCGAAAGUUACGCUAAUACCGCAUAUUCUGUGAGCAGGAAAGCGGGGGAUCUUCGGACCUCGUGCUUUCGGAGCGGCCGAUGUCGGAUUAGCUAGUUGGUGAGGUAAAGGCUCACCAAGGCGACGAGCCGUAGCGGGUCUGAGAGGAUGAUCCGCCACACUGGGACUGAGACACGGCCCAGACUCCUACGGGAGGCAGCAGUGGGGAAUUUUGGACAAUGGGGGCAACCCUGAUCCAGCCAUGCCGCGUGAGUGAAGAAGGCCUUCGGGUUGUAAAGCUCUUUUGUCAGGGAAGAAAUGGUCUGGGUUAAUACCCUGGGCAGAUGACGGUACCUGAAGAAUAAGCACCGGCUAACUACGUGCCAGCAGCCGCGGUAA